UACGUAGGGACCAAGCGUUUGUUCGGAUUUACUGGGCGUAAAGGGCGCGUAGGCGGCAUGACAAGUCACUUGUGAAAUCUCUGGGCUUAACCCAGAACGGCCAAGUGAUACUGUCGCGCUAGAGUGCGGAAGGGGCAAUCGGAAUUCUCGGUGUAGCGGUGAAAUGCGUAGAUAUCGAGAGGAACACCUGAGGUGAAGACGGGUUGCUGGGCCGACACUGACGCUGAGUGCGCGAAAGCCAGGGGAGCAAACGGG
rnacentral:rRNA from 1 species